UAUGGCAUAGUGGUUAGUGAUGCUGACUUCUGUGCAGUAGGGCCUGGGUUUGAACCCCGGAUAA